GGUAUUUUCGGGUAGAGGAAUUUA
rnacentral:siRNA from 1 species